rnacentral:rRNA from 1 species
UAGGGAAUCUUCCGCAAUGUGCGAAAGCCUGACGGAGCAACGCCGCGUGAGUGAUGAAGGUCUUCGGAGCGUAAAACUCUGUUAUUAGGGAAGAACAAAUGUGUAAGUAACUAUGCACGUCUUGACGGUACCUAAUCAGAAAGUCACGGCUAACUACGUGCCAGCAGCCGCGGUAAUACGUAGGUGGCAAGCGUUAUCCGGAAUUAUUGGGCGUAAAGCGCGCGUAGGCGGUUUUUUAAGUCAGAUGUGAAAGCCUACGGCUCAACCGUGGAGGGUCAUUGGAAACUGGAAAACUUGAGUGCAGAAGAGGAAAGUGGAUUUCCAUGUGUAGCGGUGAAAUGCGCUGUGCUAUGGAGGAACACCAGUGGCGAAGGCGACUUUCUGGUCUGUAACUGACACUAAUGUGCGAAAGCGUGGGUAUCAAACAGG